UUUCCAACUAGCCACGUGGAAUGACUAGAUCAGAUACACAAAACAGCAAUUUGCUCAGGCACAAUUCUAACUAGCUAAACCAUGAUACGAUCUAUAAUCACGAUCGUACCAACCAUAGUGGUCCUAUCAUAUAUUCUAUAGUCAUGAUAAUAUUUAGCUACGGGUGACCGAUAACUGUAUUUGCGUUACCACUCUCGUUAAAAGGUACACAGUCAUCCACAGGGAGUGGUCCUCUUACGUCUUUCCAGACUAGAUGGCGGAGGGAAAAAAUAGAUACCUUGAAUGGGGUUAGGGGAACAGAUACCCCUCAUAGAUCAAAAGCCUACCAAGACACUUGAUGCAUUAUGC
rnacentral:lncRNA from 1 species